UGGCUCAGUUGGUAGAGCAUGGUGUUUGAAAUGCCAGGGUUGUGAGUUCGAUUCCCAC
rnacentral:tRNA from 1 species